rnacentral:rRNA from 1 species
AACGAACGCUGGCGGCAGGCCUAACACAUGCAAGUCGAACGAGAAGCCACCUUCGGGUGGUGGACAGUGGCAGACGGGUGAGUAACGCGUGGGAACGUGCCUUUCGGUUCGGGAUAACCCAGGGAAACUUGGGCUAAUACCGGAUACGCCCUUCGGGGGAAAGAUUCAUUGCCGAAAGAUCGGCCCGCGUCGGAUUAGCUAGUUGGUGGGGUAAAAGCCUACCAAGGCGACGAUCCGUAGCUGGUCUGAGAGGAUGACCAGCCACACUGGGACUGAGACACGGCCCAGACUCCUACGGGAGGCAGCAGUGGGGAAUAUUGGACAAUGGGCGCAAGCCUGAUCCAGCCAUGCCGCGUGGGUGAAGAAGGCCUUAGGGUUGUAAACCCCUUUCAGCGGGGAAGAUAAUGACGGUACUCGCAGAAUAAGCACCGGCUAACUCUGUGCCAGCCGCCGCAGAA